rnacentral:rRNA from 1 species
GAUGAACGCUAGCUACAGGCUUAACACAUGCAAGUCGAGGGGUAACGAGAGGAAAGCUUGCUUUCCUUGUCGACGACCGGCGCACGGGUGAGUAACGCGUAUCCAACCUGCCCCCAACUAGGGAAUAACCUUGCGAAAGUAAGACUAAUACCCUAUAAUUUCCUCAGAUGUCAUCUGACGAGGAAUAAAGAUUUAUCGGUUGUGGAUGGGGAUGCGUCUGAUUAGCUUGUUGGCGGGGUAACGGCCCACCAAGGCAACGAUCAGUAGGGGUUCUGAGAGGAAGGUCCCCCACAUUGGAACUGAGACACGGUCCAAACUCCGACGGGAGGCAGCAGUGAGGAAUAUUGGUCAAUGGGCGGAAGCCUGAACCAGCCAAGUAGCGUGCAGGAUGGCGGCCCUAUGGGUUGUAAACUGCUUUUAUACAGGAAUAAAGUUAGCCACGUGUGGUUAUUUGUAGGUACUGUAUGAAUAAGGACCGGCUAAUUCCGUGCCAGCCGCCGCAGUAA